rnacentral:rRNA from 1 species
UGAGGAAUAUUGGGCAAUGCCCGCAAGGGUGACCCAGCAACGCCGCGUGGAGGAUGAAUGUCGUAAGAUUGUAAACUCCUGUUAGAGGGGAAGAAUAGUACCGGUUGGACCGGUAUAUGACUGUACCCUCAGAGAAAGCCCCGGCUAACUACGUGCCAGCAGCCGCGGUAAUACGUAGGGGGCAAGCGUUGUCCGGAUUUACUGGGUGUAAAGGGCGCGCAGGCGGGAUAAAAAGUCAGUGGUGAAAUCCUACAGCUUAACUGUAGAACUGCCUUUGAUACUUUUAUUCUUGAGUUCGGGAGAGAGAGACGGAAUUCCAGGUGUAGUGGUGAAAUACGUAGAUAUCUGGAAGAACACCAGUUGCGAAGGCGGUCUCUUGGUCCGACACUGACGCUGAGGCGCGGAAGCGUGGGGAGCAAACA